CUAUACAUGCAGUCGAGCGGACUGAUUAAAAGCUUGCUUUUAUGAAGUCAGCGGCGGACGGGUGAGUAACACGUGGGCAACCUGCCUGUAAGACUGGGAUAACUUCGGGAAACCGGAGCUAAUACCGGAUAACACUAGGAACCUCCUGGUUCCUGGUUGAAAGAUGGUUUCGGCUAUCACUUACAGAUGGGCCCGCGGCGCAUUAGCUAGUUGGUGAGGUAACGGCUCACCAAGGCGACGAUGCGUAGCCGACCUGAGAGGGUGAUCGGCCACACUGGGACUGAGACACGGCCCAGACUCCUACGGGAGGCAGCAGUAGGGAAUCUUCCACAAUGGACGAAAGUCUGAUGGAGCAACGCCGCGUGAGCGAUGAAGGCCUUCGGGUCGUAAAGCUCUGUUGUUAGGGAAGAACAAGUGCGAGAGUAACUGCUCGCACCUUGACGGUACCUAACCAGAAAGCCACGGCUAACUACGUGCCAGCAGCCGCGGUAAUACGUAGGUGGCAAGCGUUGUCCGGAAUUAUUGGGCGUAAAGCGCGCGCAGGCGGUUUCUUAAGUCUGAUGUGAAAGCCCACGGCUCAACCGUGGAGGGUCAUUGGAAACUGGGGAACUUGAGUGCAGAAGAGGAGAGUGGAAUUCCACGUGUAGCGGUGAAAUGCGUAGAGAUGUGGAGGAACACCAGUGGCGAAGGCGACUCUCUGGUCUGUAACUGACGCUGAGGCGCGAAAGCGUGGGGAGCAAACAGGAUUAGAUACCCUGGUAGUCCACGCCGUAAACGAUGAGUGCUAAGUGUUAGAGGGUUUCCGCCCUUUAGUGCUGCAGCUAACGCAUUAAGCACUCCGCCUGGAGAGUACGGUCGCAAGACUGAAACUCAAAGGAAUUGACGGGGGCCCGCACAAGCGGUGGAGCAUGUGGUUUAU
rnacentral:rRNA from 1 species